GUCUCAAAACUUGAAAUCAUGGAAAUUAAAAUUGAUUAAUUUUACUUCUAAUUAACCUACUUUUUUAUUUGUCCAGAUUUUGUUUUCUUGUUUUGCCAACAGAACACUGAUAAAUUUGUAUGUUUGGUUCAGGAAUUACUACAUAGGAAGAUCGUUUUGAUGACACGAACUUGUAGGCGAAGAUAAUCCAAUGAAGCAGGUGAAUUGUGAAUUUUGCACACCACUACUGUUGUUACUAUAUUUCGGUUUUAAAGACGUAAGAUGUUUGGUUAUUCUAGAGCUAACUGGAGUGCCUGUUUUGAGGAUUCAGAUAUUAUAGAGAUAGAAGUUACAAGGGAAUGUUAAGGUUUGAGUUUUUUUUGAGUUAUUACUAUUUAGGUUUUGGGUUUUUGGGAUUUGAGUGAGAUGUAAAAUCUUAUUGCGGGAUAUAGCGGAAGUGUAUCAUGCGUCACUUGUGAGCGAUAUAAACAAAAACAUGGAACAACAUUUCUUCUUUUUUUCUUUUCUUUUCGUUUCUUUUGGGGUAGCUUUUUGCUUGUAAUGUCUUGCAAAGUUGUUGGUUUUUCUGCUCAGGAAUUGUUUGUUCCUUCCAUCAUUUUGGUUUGAUUUUAGCAGAUUGUAUCUGAGGAUUUUGUUGAUUACUACUAGUGUGAAACAUUGAAAGGAUACCCUUCUAGGGUCCCCCUGAAUAAUUUACCAAUAUAUUCUGAUUAUUUUUUCAAGGGGAAUAUUUUAGGCUACAUAUUCCAACUUCAUUCUUUUUCCAAAUUCUACCUAUUAUUUAAUAUCUUAUUACGUAUUCAAUAACUAUGCUCCGACAAUGUAAAAACUUUUACACAUACAUCUAAUCAUAUCUUACUAUCAUACCAUGUCAUAAUAUUAUUUUCUGAAAUAAUUUCACAAAUAUCUAUGUGGUAAGAUCUGAUUGAACAUUUGUGUAAAAAAGUUUUACAGGGUUGGUUGUGUCAUGAUAAUUAGCUAGUCAUCUAAAUGUGGAUAAUCAGAAUGAGAAACUAGGUUUGUUAAUUAUAUACAGCUGUCAAAGCUUUGGUGUUAACUACAAAGUUGGUAGUUUGGUAGUUAGUCAUCUAUGUCUAAUCAUGGAUUAUUAGCUAGUCAAAUUUCUUAUUACCAUCAUGAUAAUGUAUUUUUUUUAAAGAGAUCAUGUGGACUAUAUUCGAUAUUUUCAUAGUAAGUCAUAGGAUGCAGGUGCUGUAGCUGAAAUCUUUAUGAGUUUCUUUUUAUUUUAUUCAUUUUUUUACAUAGAUUAGAAACAACUGAUUUUUAUUAGUCAACUUGUUUGAUUGCUUAUUUUAUUACGUUUUGGUUUAAAGACUUUUUGUGUUGCUUUUCAUUCAAAAUGCUUGAAAAAGCAGCUAAUAGUUAUGCUCUUAAAUAUGCUUUUUACUUGACUUUCUGUGUUUUUCUGAUAGAUAUCCUUAAAAUUUCAACUAUCUUAUACUACUAAUAUUUUACUACAUUGAGAUUAACAUAUAUUUGGAUUAGAUUCUAAUUGCUUUAAGUAUUUGUCAAACAACAAACUUUUCUCAAAGCAUCAUUCAAAACAAGAAUUAGAUACUGUUUUUUAUUUUUUUUGAAAAAAAAAGAAAAUAUUCUUGAUGCCAUGUUCCUUAGCUGGUUUUAGAAGGUAUAAUAUUACAGAAGGCAAAGGAUUAAGUUUUUCUAUAUUAGUACAUUUUCCCUGCCCUAGGCCCCAUUUGAGUAGUUCCUUAUCUCAAAAUACUUGAUAAAUGAUUGUAAAAUGUCACAUUUGAAGGGAUUAGUCCUUGCUUAAUCCAAUUUGACUCGAUGUGAUUAUAUCAAGCUGGUUGUCAAUCUACAUUUCAUAGAUUAUUUUAUUUGAGUGAUUGAUUUUUGAGAGUUUCUUCUUUCACCUUUAUAUACAUUUUGCAAGUACACUUAAAAAAAUAAAAAGUUUUUUUACUUCUUAGGAUGGGUACUUUCAACAAAAUCAUUGUAUUUUCCAUUGGGAUGUUCAAACAAGAGUGAUUUUUAAGAGACAUAAGGUUAAUAAUAAACGUAUUAAUGUCUUUCCUCGUAGGAAAGCACAACACUUUGUGGACACUGUGAGUCUACAAAAUAAUUGAUUUAAAUUCACUUCCUCCCCUCUCCUCGAUUCCAUGAAAGGGUGGAUAUGAAUUUAAAAAAAGUGUUGUGCUUAGUUCAAUAAGAGGAGGAUAAACUAAGAUAUAUAUUUACUUUUUCAUUUUUCUAAUAUUAUAUGUAAUAUUGAAAUAUAGUUUUAAAUAAAUAUUCUCUUCUCUCCAAACUUCUUCACUCCAAGAGUGAGUUAAAAUUGACAUUUGAGAGAUUUUCCUUUCCCUUAUCACCCCUUCAGAAAAUUGAAUCAAACAACUAAACUUAAAAUAAUCUCUCCUUUUAGUGAUACCAUGGCAAAUAUAUAUAUAUAUAUAUAUAUAUAUAUAUAUUUAUAUAUAUAUAUAUAUAUAUAUAUAUAUAUAUAUAUAUAUAAAUGCUCUAUUAGAGUGNNNNNNNNNNNNNNNNNNNNNNNNNNNNNNNNNNNNNNNNNNNNNNNNNNNNNNNNNNNNNNNNNNNNNNNNNNNNNNNNNNNNNNNNNNNNNNNNNNNNNNNNNNNNNNNNNNNNNNNNNNNNNNNNNNNNNNNNNNNNNNNNNNNNNNNNNNNNNNNNNNNNNNNNNNNNNNNNNNNNNNNNNNNNNNNNNNNNNNNNNNCUAAGUGAUUUUAUGGAUUAAAUAAUAAAAAAACUAAUUAAUGAUACAAUUUUUUUUAUGUCCAAUCAGUUUAAAAUUAUUUUAUAUUAACAAUCAAUCAUAAUAUGCCAACAGAAAUUAUACAAUUGUUUAAUGUGGUGGUAAAUUAUAAUUGAUUGUUGGUGUGCAAUAAUUUUAUACUGAGAAUGUAUAGUCUUUAUUCUUUAAUAUAUAUAUUUUAAAGUAAAAUUACUCUUGAAGUAUAAAUAUAGAUAUAUUUUGAAAAAAAAUUAUGUCUAAACAGCCAUUUCCAGUUUAUUGCAAAAUUGUUAAUGAUAAUCUAGCAAAGUUUUAGUUAUAAGGAUUAUGAAUUUUUGUUUCUCCUUCUUGUAAACAAAAAUCUCUUUUUUAUUUUUUAUCCCUCAAUCUUAGACUAUGUUUGACAAAGUAAAUAUGUGAUUAAGAUAAAAUUUGCAUCAAAUAAAUUUUUAUUGAGGAAUAAAAAUACAAAUUUGAAUAUUAGAAAAAGAUAAAUACUAAAAGCAGAAAAUAAAAUUGUGAAUGUAGCUUAUAAUUUAUUUGUAUACUGUAUACUAAACAUCUAAAGUAUAUAUAUGAAUAUAUAUAUUUUUUGAAUUUUUAAACAGUAAAUAAAACAUGAUGAAAUAUAUUCCAUGUAUCCUAUAUUGUCCUAUUUUUUUCAUUAUAAAAAAAAAUGAAGCUCUUAAAUAGUUACUCUUUUAUCCUUUUUUUAUAUAAAAAAAGUCUAUGCUGUGAGUGAAUUUUAUAUGUAAUACUUAUCUAUAUGUUAAUUGGUUUAAUUUCCUCCACAUAAAUUGGUUUUAUUUAGCAUAUUACAUUUUUAAAGUAUUCUAUAUAUUAUGAAUCACAUGUCCGAGACUUCUAUUAUAGGUUCUUUCUUUUUUAGGGAAAGUUCUCAUGUUUUUUUACGCCGUAGUAUUAAGUGUACGAUUGUACGUGCAUCACAAACAUAAUUUUUCUGUUCUUUAUAAAAUAAAUAAUAAAACUUUGAUUGUUCUCCGUACCACAUGUUAUAUUCAUGUGUAUUUAUAAUUUUGUAGUCAUAUUUAUGAGUUGCUUAAUUGUUUUUUUAUAGAAACGGUAUUUUGAAUAUACUUUAUAUAAUUUUGAUUUUAUAAUAAUUUCUUUUCUUUGAAAGUUAAACUCGCUAAAAUUGAGUAUAUUUUAUUCGGUAUCGGAUCGAAAAUUUUGGGACUAAUAUGAAUUUUGUAUUAAUAUCUAAAUCUGAAUUAAGUUUUUUUAAUUGAUACUUGGUCCAAUCAUUGACCCAACUAAUGAUCGGAUCGAUUUAAUAUAUAGAUAGUUAUACAUAAAUAUACUUAGAUGUUGGCAAAAAAUAACUAAACAAUAAUAUAGAACUACAUAUAGUUUUUUUUACAACUAAAAAUAAAUAAAUAAACAAUAAUAUUGAACUACGUAUAGUUAAAAAUUGCAAAAAUAUAUAUGUAAAAUAACAAAUUGUUAUAUUUAAUAUUUGUUUUACACAUAAAAAUUUAGAUUUAGAAGAUACAAUACUAAGCAAAAUAGUUGAAAGCUAUAUUAAUCUAAUUAUGUUUGAGUUAGGACGGGUUAUAUUUGAGCUAGCACAAAAUUGUGUUACCUUUGGGUUUUAUAUUUGGAGUGAUGCUAUUUGAACAUCAAAAAUUUAAUAUUGUGAUGUGACUAGAAGAGAUAAAAAAGUAAUAAAAAAAAAACACCCGUAUAUAAAUAAUACAUAAUGUUUAAAUAUGGCUAUGUACAUGUAUAUCACUUUGAUAUAAAUUCUUGAAACAAACCUUAAUCAACGAAGACAUACAUAUAUGUUUUAAAUUUUUUUACACUCAUUCAAUACAUCUACUUCUCUUCUUUUUGUUCUUUUAUUUUUUUUUAUUACAUUAUUAAUAUAUCACGAUUAUCACAUUACUUCUUUUGCCUCUUUUUCUUUCAAAGUGUAUACCCUUUAUGAAAUAUGAAAUGUACACCAAAUAUUUUUCCCUAAAAAAAACCUAUUAAAAAAAUAACGCAUCUAUUCAUCUUUUAAAUGGCAACAAACAUCUCUAAACCACCAAAAAAUAAUAAACAUUUAAAUCCAUUUUAGAUACUUUCUAAUGCUUCAAAACCAUUAAAAAUUUUACAAGAAGCUUUGCAUUGGAUACAAAUGCAAAACAUCAACGAGACCCAAAAAGUAUAUAGUAUAUAUUCUCUCGUAUUUGUAUUGGAUGCGAUCAAAAUAUCAUACGAUCACUAUGCACAACACAUAUCAUCAUUAGAUGAAGAUUAUACUAUUUAUAUUUUUAAAUUCAAUUAUAUUUAAAAUUUGAUUUGAUACAGUUAAAUAUGAAUCAAUUAAUGUUUAUGCAACGACCAAAAUAAAUUAUAUUAAUUAAGAAGAUAUUUUGACUUAAAAAACAAACACUAUUUGUUUUCAAUUGUGGAUGCCACUACUCCCUUUAUCAGAACUAGUUCCAAUAAGUCCCUCUCUUCUCAUCUUCUCCUCCUUAGAUUUCCUACAAAAAACAACCCAAGAAUUAACCUCUAAAGCUAUACAAACACCAACAAGAGUAGAAAGCCCUAAACAAUAACUCAAUUUGGCAUAAGACCUACUAGCACCAAUCACUUCAAACCCUUGAAACACAUUCACAAACCCUAGAACCACACAAGAGUACCCAACAAAAUGGUGGUAAGAUUUCCAAUACUUCCUAAACUUGUUCCUAGCAUUUGGCCUAAACAAUAAUGCCAAAGUCUGCAAAGCUCCAAGACAAAACACCGCAAUUCCAAGCUUCCUAUGGAGUCCAUACUCCACGCCUGGCGACAUUUCCCCGAGCCGAAUACCAAUGCCAAACCCAACUGUUCCAAGAAUGAAACCUAACAAUUGUAUCCCUGCAUGGACAUAGAACCAUGCAGGGCCUAGUGUUUGAAUGUGUCUAAGGUAGCGAGCCGUUAUCGCUCCCAUUGGUAAAAGAAUACCCCAAGAGACUGCAUUUAGGAUUCCAUGAAUCACUCUAAGCAUUGUGAGGUCAAUGUGUUGAGAUUGCGAAGAUGAUGAACCGGACAGAACAUCAAAAGUUGCAAUAGAAGAGAGAUCAAUUGAGGUUGUUGGAUGAAUGGUGGGUGAGUAGUCUUGAACAUAAAGACCUCUAUUCCAAACAAGGUGAAUUUUGGUUUUAUUCGAUUCGAGUUUGAGUGUGGUGUAGAUUUGAAUAGGCGCGCCGUUAUGUAUGGUUGCCAUUUUGCCGCCAUACAUAGCUGCUGUUGAAGAGAGGAGAUGGAUAAUACUAUCGUCAAAGGGUUGAGAGACAAGUGGUGAUUUUUGAAGUUUGACAGUUGUGUCAAGGAUGAAAGGGAGAAGGACUAUUUGACCCGUGUUCGGAUCCGGGAAGGAAAUUAAGGCAUUAGUUCCUGUCAUCUGUGGUGAAGUAGGGUUGAUGCCAAAUCCAACCCAACCAGAAGGUGAAAUGAAGGUGCCAAAGAAGACUAGUUCUAAGGUUGAAGUGUGAGGGUGGAAAGUCCAUGCUAUGGAAGCUUGUUGUGUUGGAAGGUUCAUGCAUUUUUGAAAGGUUUUAGUUGAGGUUUCUGUUGUGCAGUGAGAUGAGAAAACAGUAUGUAGAAAGAAACAGAGGGAUAGUAGGAGGAGGAAGAGAUAAACAUGAUGAAACAUGGUGUGAUGGUGUGGAGGGAGAAAUAUUGAUUUGCAAAAGUUAAUGUAAUUGAUGUUUGCAGUUAAAGAUUUUGUGUUUUGUAAUGAGGUUUUCAGAGGGGAAAUUGUUAAGUGUCAUAAUGGAUUUUGAGGGAAUAUUUAGUUUGUGCUUAACUUUGAAGGAAAGCAAAUAGUAGUGUCUAUAUGCGUUUGGUGGAGAUUAUUUUUUUUUUGAUGAAUUCAAAGUUGUAAUGUAGCUACCAAACUAUGCUGGUAUCCUCAUGAAAUUUAAUGGAUAACUUUUGAACAAAGGCCUCUCACUAAGGAGAAACUCUGUACAAUUGAUGUUUUUGGCUUAUUGUGAUUGGUUAGAACUUAUAAUCUAGCAAUAUAAAAAGACACUGACAUCAUCUAAGAUAUUCUUAUGUCUAGUGGGGCUAUUCCUUUUUGUGGUAGCUAUGAUUUUAAUUAGAUAUUGCAGAUUGAUUUCUGCAUGUUGUGCUUGGCUUUCAAGCUAUGCCAUAAUAAUUUUGGCUGUGACUUUAGAAUUUCAUCAUCGUUUCUGUUUUCUAAAAAUAAUAUAAUAACAGACAGAUAAUAUAAUUCAAUUAUAUAUUAUCCUUGACAAGCUAAAAAAUAAUGAAGAAUUAAUAUGAAAUUGUUUUCUACUGAAAGUUUAGGCAAAUUUUAAAAAGAAAAAAAAACUAUGCAUAGCUUUUUGACAGGUAUGGGAAUAGGAUUAUAGGACAACUCCAAUGAAGGCUUUUUACCUAAAAACUUCGAUUAAAAAAGAAAAAACUCUAAUGAAGACAAAGGAAGGACCACCUUGACAAAGCAGCACGCCAAAUAAUGAAAUCAGCCUGCUUGUUAUAAUUACUUUUGGCUCAUUGUGUUUUUUUCCUUUCUUUUUCUUGGGAACAAUAGAGUAUCCCUCUUGAUGCAAAAUGCCAAUUCAAUCCUUCCAUCAAAAGCAUCAUAAAUUCACCAACCAAUAACAAGAUGCAAGAUGAGUCUAAUGAAACUUGCACUAAUUUUAGACAAUCAAUGUUUACAUUGCUAAUAAAAUCAAUUGUAUGGUGCACACGUGAGGUUAGCCUUAUACCAUACACAACUGUUUUCACCAUUGAAUUAAGGUAGUUUCUUUUCCCAAACCCUAUGUUCUCAAAAGCAUUCAAAAUACACAUCUGGAUUGACCAAUCCGAAGAGCAUUACAAAUUAGGAGAAGAAACCCUCUUGAAUUAAUGAGUCUCAAUAUAGAAUCAAAUGAGAUAUGACAAAAUGUAUAAUCUUUAGUGUAUGCACAUUGUCUGCACCUAUAUAUGGACAUAGGUUACUCCCAAAAGGAUCUACCCUUCACAGGAUCAGCUGCUUGACAGAGACCAACUACUGUUAAAGCAAAUUCCAUCAGUUCUAAUAAAUUAAACAUUUUGACGCCUGUUUUCCUAUUGCAUAUUUGACCAUUGUCAAAGAAUAUUAGUGAAGACCUAUCCAACAUUUGGUUUAACAAGGUAAGUGCAAAAUCAAAAGGUGAAUUCAUUUUCUCUUUCUAUUCAUCAAACAAUAGCACUAAACAGAUAGCAUAUCUAAAUCUUGGAAAUCUAUUAUUUCCCACAAAGAAGUCCUUUAAAAUUAUCACAAUCAGAAUAAAUAGAUAGAUAUAGUAAAAUUAAUUUAAAUACCGCAUGGUCAGUGCCAAAUAAAUUGGCUCAAAAAAGGGAAUCAAUACAUUAGAAUAAAGUAUCGCAUUCACUAAUUCCAAGUCUCCACUUAUUUGUAGGAUUCAAAACAGCCAUGUUCACCCAAUCCUGAAUCAGAAUUGUUGAAUGACAAAAGUUGCCUAGAUCUUCCAGUGAAGGACUCAAGUGAAACGUCAUCCUUGGAUGGUGAUUCCUAACAUUCUCAUUUUUGGCAUCUAUAUUCAAAUAAAAGAACAUGGUUACAGGAAGAAAACCUAGCGUGAAAAUCCAUUUUCUGAACUAUCUCUUUAAUCAGUAACCAUAAAUGGAUCCACAUCUCCAAGAUCAGCAACCAAAGGUUUCAAAUCAUCUGUAGCUUCAUCUUCUGGCACAAAGUAAGUUGGGAAAGGAAGUAGAGAUACAUCAGGUUUUUCAUAGACGGCAUCUUUUAUAAAAACAAAGUUCCCUGUAGCUCCUGGGACCUGUUGUGCACAUUAUACAAAGAGAAAUGAGCAGACCAAGAUAAAAUCAAGAUUCUAAAUAUUCUGGCAAGUUAAUGAACAAUGCAGAGCCAAUAAGAUAAGAAUCAGCUACUAAAAUAGAUACAACACGAUUACUGAUCCAUUCACAACCUCUUACUGAUAUUAGUCGCAAAUUUUUAACUUAAAAAAUUUAUUGGCUCAUACAAACAUAGAAGUUUCUUCUUCUAUAUUAGCAGCACUGCAAAUGUGAAUUAAGUGGGAUGCAAAAUUCUAAAAAGUUUAAAAUAUUAAUAGCCAAGUGUCUGAGGCAAUAUCUAUGUUGUCAAUCUCAGAUAGCGGCGCGGAGCACCAAACCCUAAAAAUGGGGGAUAGCGGGAUGACCACUAUUGUGAAGGCCAAAAAACAGUAUAUAAACUAAACAUAAAAUACAAACAGUAUACAAAAUACUAAAAAAAAUAGCAAAAUACACAAAAUAAAGGGGUAAUCAUACUUAAUCAAAAUCCAACAUCAAAAUAAAGUUCUAAUAGUAAUUGUACUCAACAAAAUAGAGAACAGAGCAGACAAACCAAAGUCACAAAAACAAUAGAGCAAGAACAAUAGCAACAAAGCAAGAACGAAACAGAGGAUGAAAGAAAACGGUUUCUUUUUCACGAUGUUGACCCAACCUCUUUGGGGUUUUAUAAUAAUAAAAAAUUAGUGCUUAAGUGGGUGCGGAAUGACCUAGAUACCCUAAAUGAAGAAUAAAAAACAAAAAACAAAGUAAAAUAAAACUUGUGUUAUUGAAAAUUCCCAAGAGCAGGUUGGGCUGGAAUAGCAGGUCGCGACGAUAGUGGGAUUCGCGGCCAGGAGCGCCUCUACUAGCAAAUGUGUUUUCCCGGUCGGUGGCGUCGCAGCCAGACCCUCCACGGCACCGGGAUAGCGCCGGGAUUUUCAAUAUAAGCGGUAUAAGAUAGUUCCUUCCCUAUAGCUCCAACUUCAUAAUUUAAUGCAAAAAUAAAUAUAAAAACAAUUACCUGGCCUUUCACCCACAUCAAAUUCCUUGCUGGAUCGAUUUUGUAGACCCAUACGUUUUUAACUGUUCGUUGGUCGCCACCCAUUCGCCCAGGCAUCUUUCUACCUUUGAAAACCUGAAGAAACGGUGAGGGAAAAAAUCAUCGUAACAACGAUCGGAGAGAAACAUAAAUGUAACGAAAAUAAACUUAUUCUGACAACCAAUCUAACAUAUUUUUAGCAUUCAGAAACAGAAAUCCGUAUUAAGAAACAAUAUAAAUUUAAAGUACUCCAUCCAACCUUUCCAGGAGCAUCGCGUUGUCCUGUAGAACCUCCGCUUCUAUGUGAUAAUGAAGCUCCGUGGCUUGCUGGACCUCCUUUAAAACCAUGCCUCUUCAUUACACCCUGAAAACAGAAAAUAUAAUUUAAAUAAACACUCAUGUAACUGAAAAGACAGAUUUGAAAGAAUGGUAGUAUCAUGUAAUUUCCUGUCAUACUCAAUGGAGGAUUCGACAUGAAACAGAAAUACCGACAGUCAUACAUGAAAUAUUAACAAAAUAAGAAACAUAAAAAACACAAUAAACUGCCCACUAGAAAGCAUGCAAUCAACAUUAUUAUUUCUUUCAAAACUUCCAGAGAGCUCAAGUAGAGAGAAAAGAAUAAAGCCUACACCAAUGAUUGUCCAGAAGUAAAUAAAUUGUGAAACAAUACAAUUAAACAAAUAAAUAAUGGCAUAUAAUACAUGUUUCAAAUUCUAUUGAAUUGGUAAACUUAUUAUUGUAUAAUCAGGACUCUGGAAAGUGGCAACUUAUUAUUGUUGUUGACCAAUUGGGUGUGGGUGGAAACACUUAAAAUCCUAAUAUCAAGUGGCAACUUAUGUAAUCAACCGGCCCUUACUGAAAAGCAAUCCUCUAAGGGUAAUUGUAAUUUCAUCCUGCAAAUACAAAUUUAAUAAAUUCUUUGACAAAAUAACAACUAAUCAUCUCAACAAACAAACAAAGAACAUCGUGCAUUUAACUCAACUACUAUUGUAUGGGAGUAAUAUCUAUAGACAAAUGCAGGAACAAAUACAAGCAUAAACAUGCACACAUACACACUCAAUGUAACAGAUGAUUUAUUGUCUAUAACAAACGAGGGAUUAGCAUUACUAUGUACUUUGAAGGAAGGAGAAUAACACCUGAAAACCUUUUCCUUUAGUGAUUCCUUGAAUGUCAACAUACUGGCCAGGAACAAAAUGGCGAACAUUAAGCGAUGUACCUACAGGAAGAAGUGCGUCCUCUGUCACUGGAAACUCUUUUAGCUUCCUCUUCAUUGGAACUCCUUGAGCCCUAAAAUGACCCACCUCAGGCUUUGUCAAAUGUUUUUCCUUCUUCUGUCCACAACCAAUCUAACUAAAACAAAGCAUCAAACAAGCCUAUAAUAAUUAGAUACACACUAUAUAUAAUUAACUAUUCCAUUUCAAUCUGAAGUGGCUGAGAAUGAAGUGGAACUUACCUGGAGAGCGCAAAAGCCUUCUUUCUCAGGGGUUUUGACCUGAGAAACAAUGUUGUCGUCAACCCAAAGCACAGUGAUUGGAAUUCUGGCACCCCAUUUAUCCCAAAGUGCACUCAUUCCACACUUGACAGCUAUGAGACCAGUCCGUGUCGAAUUAGGGGUCAUGACACUAGGCUUUGCUUCAAUAAUCCGUAAAGCCUCCGCAUCCGAACUCAAAAACCGCGACAACAAUAACGGCGAGGGUGUGGACACGGCAAAAUGUUGAAGACGAGAAACCACGCCUCUCGAAAACGCCAGCAUGGCAAAUCUAUGUAAGUAUUGAAUCAAACAAACUAAAUGAGUAUGCUGAAUAAACCAAAUCUAAUUGAAAAAAAAAUUAGGUCAGUUUUUAAUUACAAUUCUGCAAAAAAAGAACAGAUAUUAUAUUUUAACAACCAUCAACUACAACUAGAGCUAAACAAAUGGUAAUUCCAAUAAUUGGUUUUUGUAUCUUAGCAUUGAUUUUCAUAGGUGAUUCUAUCUAACAAUUACUAUGUUGUGAAUCACACCGCUUUAGUGCGGAAUCGCGGUGGCGAGUGGAGCUUGCCUGCGACGCGAUUCUGUAAAUCGCGCUUGAAUCGAUUCCUCGCGAGUGCUAAAUGAGAGGGGAAAGAAAAUACGAAAAACAAAUAAAUAAAAAGAAAACCUGACGGAGUUUCUCACUGAUUGUGGCGGCUGAUAAUUAACUCCGGCGGCGUUUUCCGGUAAGCUAUUGGUGUUUACGGGCAGUUGAGAUGAGUGAGAGUCAUAAACGAAGGAUGACGGAACUGCUCAAUUUGGUUUUUUAGGGUUUUAAGUUUUUUUUUUUGUUAUGACAAAAACGGGGUUUUAAGACUUAGUCGUUAAUAAUGUGUUAAUUUUUUCAAUUUUGUCUAUUUGUUUUGUUUCUAGAGUUUUCUAUUUCACAUGUUAUUAAUAUUAUAAAAAUGGGUUUGAGUUAGUGGUGUGUUAAAACCUUUAAGAAAAAUUAAAAAAUAUGACAAUAGUUAUAAAGUUAUUUUACGGUGUUAUGCAAACACAACACUUCAAUUUUGUAGCAUCAUAUAAUCUAGUUCUUAUUGUCUUCUUGGGCAAGUAUGAUUGCGAUAUAAUCUCUUAAAAUAAAGAAAAUAUAUAAUAAUACUAAUAAUAAAAUGGAAAUAAAUAGAAUUUUCUUAUCAAUUAAAUACUGUGUUUCUUCUAAAAAAUAUUUUUAUGUAUUCUAUACUAUUCAAAUCUUAUAUACUCCCUCAGUUAAUAUUAUAAAGAAGAAAAAAAACUACUUUCGCAAAAUGUAAUUAAAUAUAAUUAAUUUUUAAGUAAAAUACAUUUUAAAUUUAUUAAAUUGUCUUUUUUUUAAUAUUAAAUGUUUAAUUGUUAAUAUUAAAUGUUUUGAAUAAAAUAAAAGAUGUAUUAGAAAAAUAAUAUUAAAUAAAUUGAAAGUAAUUAAUUUUUACUUAUAAUAGUUAUUAGAAGGUCCAAGAAAAAUUAAGUGUUCAUAAAAAAAUAAAAGAAAAACCGUGUGGAGUAUUUAGAACCAUGAGAUUAAAGAAAAAAUAGUCCCUUUUUAUUUAUAUGGUGAUAGCUUAAGAGGUUCAAAUUUUGUUAACCUAAAACUUGGGCCCACAUUUUAUUUAAAAAAGUUCACAAACCAAAAAUUAUAAACUAUGAAUUUUGUGUAUGCACACAUUUUACUGGUGCUGCCAAAAAUUGAGGCACUACCAAAUCACACACUUUAAAUAUGCUCAAGAUAAUCACAUGUUAUAACAUAAGUUCAAACAAAAGUAAUAAACUCUUUUUGCAAGUGUUAUUGGAGAGAAAUUAAAAAUAAUUUAUUUUGUAAGUGUUCUUAAAACUUUUUUAUUUAGGACUACAACACCAACCCAUAACAUAAAUCUCAAAGAAAAUAUACAUCUAAAUAUUGUAGAACUUUUUAAGAACAUGACUUGCUCUUAAUACAUUACUCAGCUAUAUGUCAAAUGCAAAUUGAAAUGAGUUAGGCUUAGCUCAAAACACUACAAGUAAAUUUAAAAAUGUACAAAGGAGAGGCUUUAUAGCAAAGGAAAAGGUGGACAUAAAAUGUGGAAUGUAACUAAAAAUCGAAGCACAAAUUAUUCAACAUGGAACUUCACAAUUGUCCAAAGAUGUGCAUGGAUGAUCCUUGUGUUGAAGACUUAUUAUCUCACUAAUUACUUGUUGUUUAUCUGCUUGAAAUUGUUCAUCCGCUGCAAAAAAAAAUGUCAAAAUUUACAAAGCUAAUUUAUACGACAAAUAAAAAGCUUUUAUAUUAUGAAUUAUCAUAAUUGUUAGGCUAAAUUGUGGUCCUUUAACUUAAUCUCAGGUAACGUUUUAGUCAUUUAUCUUUUUUUUUUUUUCGAUUUAGUCCUUUAUUUCUAACAAUAUCAAAUAAAGUAUGAAAAUAUAAGUUUAUUUGAAGAUUUGCGUUACGAAUUUGAUGAAAUUUGUAUUAUAUUGAAGAAUAUAAUUAAUUUUAUGAGUUUUGAUUGAAUUUUUUUUUUGAAUUUUUGUAUAAAAAAGGAUAACAUUGUUGAAAUUUUAAAACAUAAAAUAUCAAAUUGUCACUUAAAAUUAAAAUAAAUGACCAAGUCGGGAAAAAAAAAAAAUAAAUGACUAAAACGUUACCUGAGAUUAAGUUAAAGGACCACAAAUGUAAUUUAGCCUAAUUGUUAUAUCGUUAAAAUUAAUUGUGAUAUGAAAAUGGUUUUAUAUGUAUUUAAACAUUAAACUUUUUAUUAUUAUACCUUUAAAAAUGAAGAAUAAUAUGUUAUACCUUUGUCGCUAUUGAAGCUACCCAAAAAUUGCAAAAGCUUAUGCUUGUUUGUAACAAGUAUGCCAACAACCUCAGGAGGCUUAUUUUGAUUAGCAACAAACAACUGCCAAUAAUACCAAUUAAGAAUUAAACAUAAUUAGAUUCAAACUAAGGGCACUCAAUAUAAUUUGGAGGAUAUAAAGUUGUCAUAAAAAAUUUGGAGAUAAAGAACUCUAUGCUCUAUUCCAAACCUUGAAAACAUGGAAGGUUUCUAACUGAAUUGUCUUAUUAGAUUCCUGAAAAUUAAGAUAAAAAAAGGUGAAUAAAUCAUUUCCAUUUUAUGUUUGCGAGUGUGAUAAAUAAAUAAGAAAAAAAUAAAGUUUGCAAGCAUACUCUAAGGAGAUUCAUGAGGAUCCUCAUGUUAUCCAAUGAGCUCACAUAACGGAUCAUUACUCCAGAAUUUGAGCGGUCCAAUAACAUAUCUCCCAAUAACUGCAACAUAUAUAUUCGUUUUUUUAACACAUUCGAAAGAAAUAAUAAUAUGACUAGAAAGAGUUCAAAAUAUAUUUUUACUUGAGAAAUGAUAUUUUGAGAUCAAAUUUUCCCAACAAUGUAGAUGGUUAAUGUGGUUUAAAUAUGCAAUUAAUUUAGAUGGUUAUUAUGAAUUUGAUUAACACAAAUGUCGAUAUCGUUAAGAUCUGAAAAAAUUGUGGAUAUUGUUAGAUUGUAUUCCAAACUCAUGACCUCACUGUUGUGUUAAUUAAUUAUAAUAAAAUUUAUUAUAUAUUUUAAGAUAAUAUAUAUAUAUAUAUAUAUAUAUAUAUAUAUAUAUAUAAAAAUAAAUAUAUAUUAUAUANNNNNNNNNNNNNNNNNNNNNNNNNNNNNNNNNNNNNNNNNNNNNNNNNNNNNNNNNNNNNNNNNNNNNNNNNNNNNNNNNNNNNNNNNNNNNNNNNNNNNNNNNNNNNNNNNNNNNNNNNNNNNNNNNNNNNNNNNNNNNNNNNNNNNNNNNNNNNNNNNNNNNNNNNNNNNNNNNNNNNNNNNNAAAAUUUAAUAUAUAUUUUUAAAUAAUAUAUAUAUAUAUAUAUAUAUAUAUAUAUAUAUAUAAUGAUAAUUAAACAUAAUUUAAAUAAUUAAUAGAUUUAACUGUAAAUUCAAACACUAAAAAAUUGUGGUUAAGGUUGUUCAAAAUCAGAUACUUAAAAUGUAUUAUUCAUUUCAAUAGGUGUCCAAAUUUGAUGUGACAUUUAUGUUUUAAAAAAAUAACACAGCUUUUUUCUUCUUACUUAGAUAAAAACAAUAUGAAAAAAAGAAUGAUGCAUUAUUAGUGUAAACUAUAAAUAAAAACUCUUGAUUUCACUAUGUUACUCGAUAAUUAUAACUAUUAUUAUUAAAUAAUUACCCAAUCAAUUAUUAAGAUUGACUAUAAGUGUAAUAUGUUUAACACUAAGAGUAUAUGAUCAUUAAACUCGUAAAAAAAAUGGCAAGUUUUAGAUAAAAAGAAAUGUAUUUAUAUAUAUAUAUAUACCUUGAUAGCGUGUCGUCUUGUGAAAUAACUGGUAGAUUCAAGCAACUGAGAGUUAUACUCUUUGAAAAACUGAAAUCAUAAAAGAAAACAUUUUAGCUUAAUAUUAUCUAAAACAUUGAGAAACUAUGAACCUUAAAUAUUAUUUUAUUUAUCAAAACAACCAAAUUACUUAUGAACCAAUUUAUGGCCCAUUUUUAUAACACCUUAUGAAUUAAACAUUUCUUAGUUGUUCUCAAUAGUUAAUUAUUGAUGUAAUUAACAUUUUCAUUUGCUAAUAUAAUUUCAGUAUUAUAUUUUGCAAUAUUUUAAUUUCCUAUCAUCAAUUGUUUUUAUAUUAGAUUUCAUAUAAUGGUGUUACUUACCCAAUCAUAAUUUUUAGAAAGAAAUUCAGCAACUGUAGAUUUAUGCCUUGUCAAUAGCUCCUGUGUAAAUCAACCAUGGCAGUGGGUCAUUUUUAAUGCUAUAUCAAAAUAGUAGUACCCAUAAUAUUUUCAACAUAUGUGAAUUAAAAUUAAUAAGACAUACUAUAUAGUAUAUUAUAAGCAUAUAUACUCAACUUUGAAAGUUGCACCAGCAUCUGAUGCUAUUUCAAAAUUUGGUAUUUGAAUGUAGUCGAAAAAUUUCUUCAUGUGCUCUGAUUCCAAUACAUGCCUGAACAAAUAAGGGAAUUCAAUUGUAUAAAAAUUUAUUGUAUAGUAAUACUCAAUAGCAUAGCAUAAUUAAAUAAUUAAUCACCUUCUUUGUCCUUGCUAAAAAAAAUUAAUUAAUUAAUUAAUUAAUUACCUUGCUACACUCUGGUGGCGUAUGCAUUCCCUUGCAAUUGCACCAUAUGUCAAAGCAAUGUCACCCUCUUCUUCAUAACUAAUAAAAUGAGCAACUUUUUAUUUAAUUAACCAUUAAACAUAUUAAAUUAUUAGAAACAUAUAAAUUUCAAUAUUGUUUGAGUAGAUAAAAGAAGCUUACCCGUGAAUGACAAUAUCCACAAGAUCCAAAUUAUCUUCCAAAUAUUGAGAAGCAAUUAAUCGUGAAUUUACUCGUUGCCUUUGCAAGUUUGCAAUCACACGAGUUGCAUCUUGGCGAGCCUAUAUAUGGAUAUGGAUCAUACUUAAUUAUUAUGCAAAACAAACAUAGCAUUUAUAAACAAAGUUAUUGGUUAGUUUUUUAAGAUGAGGAUAAUUCGUAAAUUUUAAUGUAUUUCAAUAACAUAUCAAAUUAUAUAAUAUUUACAUAAAAUUUUGGAGCCGUGUAAUGUUGCUUAUAUGUUAUAUCGAUAUAAUUUAAUUUCUUUUAUAUACUAUAUAACAUUUGUUUAAUAGAAAUAUAUAUGUAUUUACUUAUUUGAACGAUCCAACGACUUUAGAUUAUUGUAAAAAAUUAUAUUUGAAUUAAGUGGUACAAUUCAAAAUAGAUAUUCUAAAAAGAUUUAUUAAAUGAAUACCUAAGUAUUGCACCAUUGAGGUUAGCUUAAAAUUUAACUACGAAUUGGGUUGGUGAUUGUUAAUUACCUCAAGUUUAAGAAUUGGAAGAGAGGCAAUGAGAAGGCGAAAUGUGUCCUCUUUUAAAAACUCUUGAGUAAGUUGAGAACAUGCAUCUGCAUUUGGCUCUGAUUCACCAUUUCCAUAAAGGACAGUCCUUAUCUCAAGUAUGGUCUUGCAUAACUCUAAAAGCUGCAAUAUGGAUGCAAAUUCAAAACACAUACAUUUGAAGCGAAAUUACUAUGAACGACAUAAAUAAACAUAAUUACAUAUUCAUUCUAAGUCAUUUCAUGAGUUUCUUCUAAAUUGAUUUUGUAACAAUCAAAAAAUUUUCUCUAUAUAAUAUAUUACCUUCUCUUCACGUUUACUUUCACGAGUAUUUGAUUUGGUGUCAAUAUAUAUUAGAAGUUCUCGAACGCGGCGCACCAACUCUACCGGUGUUCGAGGCUUUUGCUUGAAAAUGCCUUUCUUCAUCUCUUUGGAUUAUUACACAACAAUUAGGGUUUUGCAUUUGGAUUUGAAAGAAGAAAAAAGAUUAAAGGAGAAAAGAUAUGUCAAUUAAUGAACCAAAUGAUUGGUUGAAUAUGAUUGGUUAUUUGAUGGUUGUACGUGCGUACAAAAUGCCAACUAAUUGGUUAUUUUGGGAGGGAAUGGAAAAAUUAACGGACCUAAAUUAUUCACAUACAUAUAUAAUAGUAAUAAAUAGUAGGGGAUAUUAUCUACAUGCAAAAUCUCACACAUUUGGUCAUUCUUACUAUAAUUCCCUUCAUCUUCAUCUUCAUCUCUUUAUUUGUAACAACUAUAUAUAUAUAUAUAUAAUUCAACUGGCACCGUGGCGAUUAAUUUUUUUAAAGCUAAAAUAAAUAGUGCAAAUUAAUUAUGAAUCUCUAUUAGUAAAAAGACAUUAUAGGACUCUAGAUCCCUUUAUUUGCAUAUAAGAUAUGAUAAUUUGGACCUUAAUUUUGUACUCAUUGGACCUUAAUGCAAAAUAUGUGUAUAGGAAAGGAAAUAUAAAUUAUGAAAAAACAAGUAAAUCAAUAAAACUUUAAAAAUUACAACAACAAAAAAUUGAGGUUUAAUUGUAGGCCAUUUAGUAUUGAUUUUUUAUCCUUUAAAUUUUGUUAUUGAUUUUAGUUUGUUAUAUUUUCAAUUGUUAAAAUUAAUAAACUCAUUAUUUUUUAAUAUUAUUUCUAAUUCCCAUAAUCUAUUAAAAAUAAUUAAGUCUAAAAGAUAUGCACUAUUGGUAUAACUUUUUUACAUUAUUCUAAUUUUUAAUAUAUAUUUUACAAUGUCAAUGUAUAUUUAUAAAUGACUUAAAAAAUUUAAAAGUAAAAUUAACGAAAAAAGAAAAAUUAUUUUAAAAAAUAUAAAUUUAAAAUCAUUUUUAAAAAAUCUUAAACAUACCAUCGCUUUAUCUGGUGAUAGAAUUUAUUAAUUUAGUAAUAUAACAAAUUUGUACGGUGUAAAAGUUACAUCACUUGAGGGUCAUAAUUCACAUGUAGUAAAUAUUAAGUCAUGAUGACAAAAUUCAAUGUAUGUCGUUGACUUCAGUUAGUCAAGCUUCGUAUAUGUUAUUUUGCUUCCUGUAAUUUCUGUUGAAUUGCUUCAUAGUAUACUUUUCUUUUUGUAAAAAUCAUUUUAAAUUUUAACACAAAUACGCUAAGUAAUGUUUUUAAUAUAACAAUUUUUAUAUUAAGAGACUAUGAAAGCAAACUAUCAACUUCAUUAAAUAUUUACAAUAUAUUAUGAUUAGGUUUUUUUUAAUAUCAAUAAAUAUUAUAGAAAAAAAAAACUAAAAUACAGAGAAUUAAAAUAAUUUUUUUAUUAACUUCAAUGCAUAUUAAUUAUUCACUUUAUUAUUUAACUCAUCUAUGAUUUCUUCACUUUAUUAAUUAUUGACUUUAGAAGACAAAUAGUUCACCUGCAUCUCGUGAUGACGGCAUAGGACUGCUAGGCGGCUGAGUUUCGUCGUUGUCGCCAUAAAAUCUGAAUAAUUCAAACCUCAAAUUGCAGCUAGGAUACAAAACUCUUCCCCCAACACUUCCCAAUAAGGACCAUGGAAUUGUUGUACCAAUCACAUCAUUUAGACACAAAAUACAAUCAUCACUGGACAAAUCUUGAGUACACUGUUCAAGAGUAUACAAUGUUUGUACAUCAUUCAACUUUACUGAUUUUGCCGAAUAUCUUUCAACACUAUUCCCUGUGUCCUUCGCGAGCUGAGAUAACUGAUUCGAUAAUAUAUUAGUGAAUGAAUUUUGCUCCGAGUUAGAUGUUGAAAUAUUUAUAUCGCUAUACAUAGGACUUGUUUCCAUCUUAUAGAAAUAUUGAUCAGAAUAGCGAAGCAAGCAGUGACUAUACCAAAUUAUACCCUCAAGCGAUGAGCGACACUUUGAGUUCGAAGAUAAUCGAUCUGUUGCAUUUUUCACACAUUGACCACAGAGGUGAGGUGGAAGGUCACCUCUACACAUGAAAUGGUCGUACACCAUUUGUUCCACAUUAUCUUUAUAAAAUAUUUUGCCAUUGGUAGCGUAGGAAGACAAAUAAGAGAAGAGAGUUUUGGUGUAUAUUUGAAAAGUAUUGUCUUUAGUUAAGGAAUGGUUACUUGAACAAUUAUGGAAAAGAUAAAAUGGAUCUUGUGAAAACCCCGAAUCUUGUUUUGAAUCAUUAGUUUCAGGAACAAGUGCAGCUGGUGUUGAGGAAUCACUAACAUUCCUAUAAAAAGGAUAUAGUUCGUACCUAACAUUACAACUGGGAUAGAGAACUCUCCCACCCUGCUUUCCCUCACAACACCAUGGAAGAUCCCCAAUCACUCUACUGAGGCAGCUUCUGCAAUCAUUAGGCGACAAGUCCGGCGUGCACUGAGCUAGACAGUAAAGGUUUUGAGAUCCUGAAAUAGUUGCUUGUUUUGUGGCAAAUUUCUUGUUCUCAUCACCAAGAAGAGAACGUGCUGCUUCGUCUGCAGUUUGAUUCAUGGUCGAAAACAAUAGACGCAUGAAGCUGUUUUGGUUUGAGACGUUGCCGGUGUUCAACACUCCAAGUCGAGGCCUUGUAUCAAAGGUAGAAAAGAAAGAGCGGUAGGAGUAUCGUACCGUGCACUCGUCGUACCAAAUCACGGCUUGUUUAGACAAAGAGCACUCUGAGGAUAGUAUUUGGGUUGCAUUAACUAUGCAUUGAUGACAGAGCUGAGAGGGUACAUCACCUCUACACAUGAAGAGUCCAUAGACAGAAUCAGAGGGGUUUACCCCAGUUACCGUGGUGUUGUAGAAUUCAGUGUUGUCGUUGGUUUUUGAUGACAAGGAAGAGAGGAGGGUCUUGAGAUUGACUUCGAAUGUACUCUUGUUGGUUGUGGUAGCGUUGAUGGAACAAUUUUUAUACACAUAAACAGGAGUGUCAGUGUCUUGUGCUUUGAUAAUUGUCAAAAGGAGGAAGUUAACAAGUAUAGAGAGAUAGAGAACUUUAGACAAAGCCAUUGAUUUUUUUAUAGAGUUGUUAAUUGCAAAAUAAGUACAGAAUGUUAUCGACCUGCAAAUGCAAGCACUUUGGAUUUGUUAAUUAGUAAAGAAUGUUGUUAGCUAAUAUAUAUAUAUAUAUUGUGAAGAUGUUUUAUGAAUUAAUGUAAUAAAAUGAUGACGUAUUGUGAUGUAUAUAAAUCAAAUUCAAUUAAAACAAACCUAAGUUAAGUUUUCUCAUUUAUGUCAAAAUAAAAAAAGUUGUUUCCAAAAUUCUUUUAAAGUUUUUUCCAAAUAACAUAGGUUGAAAAAGAAAUACAAUCACGUGACUUUGAUGCGUACUACUUAAUAGGAAGACUUUGAGGAGUCAUGAAACCUGAGAUGUGGAAAGCUUCGUAUCCUCCUUAUCUCAUCAAUUAUCAUUGGUUCCAGUGGUUUGAAAUGAAAUCAUACAUUGAAUUAUAUUUUACAUCAUUUGUAUGGUUCACUGCUUUUAGUUCACCAAAAGUCCAUAGACCUUGUACACGAGUUAACGUGUUUAAUUUACGAUUUUUUUAAUACUUCUGUCGGAUCAAUUAAAUUAUAAUAGCUAUAAUAUAUCAAAUUUUAUAUUUUUUAUUAUUUUAUUUCUCUUUAUUAAAUUUUAAAAUUUAAAAUAUACAUGCAUAUAUAUAUUUAUUUAUUUAUUUAUGUAUUCAUAAUUAUUAAUACAAAAUAAAAAAGUAAAAAUAUAAAAUAGAAAUAAAAGUGAUAUAGCAAAAAUUAAUAUUGAUACUCAUUUUGUCUCGUCUCAUGAAAUUACAAUUAUAACAUUAUUAAAGAGUCUGGGAUCACAAUUGUAUUUAUUAGUUAGUAAAAGUCUAACCUUUAUAUUAAACCGAUAUAAUAACUUUUAUUUUGUUUGCCUCUUAUUACUAGUUGUCUUUGAUUUUGACUUCUGAUUGUCUCUAGUUCUGGUUUAUCCAUCCUUCACCUUAUUCCUUCUAUUUUAUUUGUUUUAUGUUUUUUUCUUUUCUUUUCAUCUUGUUUCAUUCUCUGCAAAAUACUAGCUCCCCCCACCCCCACCCCCACCCCUAUCUUUCUAUUUUUUUUUUUGUCUACAUUUAGGGUUAACUUAUUUUUAUAUUUUUCUUUUGUUUUUUAAGUUAUAUUCAAAUUAAGUUCGGACUCCAAAUUCAUUGGAUUUUUUUUUCUUCUCUCUUUUGCUUUAAUAUAUUUUUUUUCUCGUUAAUCAGUCCAACCUUAUUUCCAUUUUCAAAAUAUUAAGUUUAAUCAAUUUCUAAUAAAUAUUAAAUCUUCUAAAAAUAAAUUUAUUAUUCACGGUUAAUUAGAUGUGAUAUCAUUUUAAUCUUUGAAUUAUUAUGACACAAGUUGUACAACUUGAUGAUUCUAAAACUCAUUUUUAUAAAUUAAUAAAUCUAAAAUUAACUUUUAAAUUUAAUUAAUUAGAUGUGACAUUUUUUUAAUCUUUGAGUUGUUAAGACACAAAUUAUACAAUUUGGUGGUUUUAAAACUUAUUUUUAUAAUUGAAAAUAAUAAUAAUAAUAAUAAUAAUACUCUUAAACUGGUGAAUUAGAUGAGUCACCUUUUUAAUCUUUCAAUUUUUGAUACACAAGUUGUGCAACUUGAUAAUCUUAAAACUUGCAUUUUCAAAUGAUUAUUCAAAUUAAACAAACUUAUUUUAUUUUAUUAAAACAACUUUUUUUUUAUUAACAACAAAACACAUUUUUUUUUUAAAAACAAUUAACGUAUCUGCAUUUUCUACUCAAGAAUUAUAUAGUUUUGAUUUGUCCAUCGCUCUUGGAAAUGCGUAAAAGUAAAUUCACACUAUUGUCAAACACAAUAAUAAAAAACUUUUUUUUUCUCUCUCUAUUUUGAACACUUUUUUUCUUCUUUUAAGCGUCGCAUUUAUACAAAAUUUAUAUUCACAUUUUACUAAUAAGAAGAAAUAAAAAUUCUGAAGUUAACAAAAAAUUUUGCAUAGUUAAUUAUAAGUAACUAUUUUUUACGGAUGUCGUAUGAUAUUAAUAUCUAUUAUACGCAUAACCGACUCCCAAAUCAUAAAUCUGGUUUCAAAAGGUCAUUUGUAUGUUUUCAAGGGUUUUUCAAUGUUUAUCAUAUUAAAAUAAACUUUGGUGGCUACUCUGUUGAAUUCGAGCUAACCCUUAAAAUUUUAGGUUGCGACAGUAUUAAAGUAAGAAAAUAAUAUAGAAUUGUUGAAAAGGACAUGUAAAGUGAUUGCUUUUCAAAAUACAACUAUUAGAAUUUAAGUCGGUCCAUACAAAAUUGACUUGUAAAAUGAUUCCUUUUCAAAAUAUGACUAUUAGAAUUUAGGUCGGGCGAUACAAAAUUGACUUGGAAAAUGAGUACUUGAUAAACACAUUUUAUAAACUCAUCCAAUGUGAGACUCUUUACUUUUAACACAUCCAUUCAUGCCUAGGUCUCGACAUCUAGACCGUGACUUGAGUGGGCCUAUGAAAGUAACUUGAUAGCACGUGGUCCAAGGGAUCUUGGAUAAGCGCUUGAUACCAUAUUAGAUUUUUAUAUUAAACUUAAUUUAUUUUUACAAAAUCGACUUAUAAAUUGAGAGGUGUCUCAUUAUAAACUACGUAAUACGAAGUGGAACUUUGGUGACGGUCAGAGACGGUUUGCGUUGAUGAGGAAGAAGCAUGGCAAAGUAACACUCAAUAGAUUGUAUCUACAAACACUGCGAUGUCCAAAUCAGUAACACUUCCGAGGGAGCGAAAGGUAUAUUUUUAGUGAGAGUAAUUACGUACCUUGCAUUUGAAGAGUGUGACUAUUUUAUAUGAUGAUCUUGUGAAAAGAUAAUUGUCGAGGUGGUUAGGACAUUGUGGGAUUGAUGAGGAAAACUUAGGGGGCCAUGUGGCAUUGGUGAGAUGUGAUCAAAUCAGGGAGUAACUUGCUCAAUUUUUGCUCUCCAAAUGCCACUAUGGAUCUAUAAUGUUAAGUGUUGAUUGCUUAGAGCAUCUCCAAUGGUAGUCAAAUAAGUUCAUCUGUCAGCGUGUAGUUGCGUAAAAUUCAGUUUUUGGCGAGUUCACUGUUGGAGAUGUGUCAAGCUGUCAUCACAGUUCUCUCAGAAAGGAACAGUACUUUCAUAAUUUAAUAAUAAUAAAAUUAUAAUCUUUACCCUUUUUUUUAUUAAUUUAUAAAUAAUAAUAAUAAAUGUAUUACUGUUAGUGGUGGGUCCUAUUUAAUGAACCUAGAGUCCACCGUUGAAGUAAAAAUUGAAUUAGUUGUUUUAAGAUGAUGUAGUAUGGUAGACCUCAUUUAAUGAAUCUAUGUUGAAUUCACCAUUGGAUAUGCUCUUAGAGAACAUGGGAAGCCUCGUGGCAGAGUCGUUUCAAAAUGUCGUCAAUCAAAUCGUCCACUUCAACCUUGACCUGAACUUGGCUUUGGACAAUCAAAACCCUGAUAAAGUUUUGAAAGGUGAUCAACUAGUGAAGCUGUAGUCAAAAGCAAUGAUUUAAAACCCAAACAAGACCAACUGAUUCGAUCAGUUCAAUCGGGAAACGAACCCAUGUCCGAUUCGGUAAGCAUAAUAAAAUUGAUGGUCUGUAAAAACCAGGAAAAACUAAAAAUCGAAUUGAACCAAGUUAGACUGACCGAGUCACUAAACCGGGCUCAAUAUUUGAAAAUCAUCCAAUUUUUUAAAAUACUAAAUUUUUUUAUUUUUGCAACAAAAAGAAUAAGUUUUUUAAACUAAUAAAAACAAUCUUUUUAAGUUUAACUUUAACAAAAAAAAAUAUUUAUUUCACUCAAACCUUUAUUCCACUUAAUUCGCAAGACAUCUGUGGUUGAUCGAUUGAUCCAUAUGAGAUUUGAUGUUUGAAUUUAUAUUAUGAAGACUUGUAUUUGUUGUGUAUUUUAAUGUAUUUAUUAUAGAUAUGGAAUAUUUGUUAUAAAUUUUAUGAAUUUUACUUUAUAAAUUAUGAAGUUCUGAAUAUUUUAAUAUAUUUCAAAAGGGUCUAAGUCGUAGAGAUACCUUUGGGCGUGUACUGAGAGUCAGAGAUUCUAGUUACGGUCCAUAUGAAAAAAAUACAUUUCAAUCAGCCUAGCCUUACUUAAUACUUAAUAGAUUCUCUUUAAUAAUAUAUAUUGGUAUGUUAUGAUACCUGCAUCAGAAGAACUUAUCUCAUAAAAUAUGUUUGGGUUAUAUGUAACAGGGAUUUAGAUUCUCUCUUUUAGUGGUCUCUGCUGCACUUUCUACUGCAACAAUCUCGACCUUUGAAUAAUAUGUGCCUUACUGAUGAUAAACUAAUCCUCUGUACUCACUAAAUCCAUCUUUAGCAGAUCAAUAUUUAUACACUAAGGGAAAAUAGAUUAUGAAACUCAUGUAAGUCAUAACGGGCUUUUUUGGAUUGACUUAUUUGAGCUUAGCUACUAGCAUAAGCACUUGUGAAACUGUUGGUGAGAGCUUAUGAAAACAACUGAUGACAUGUCUAUAAGUUGUUUUCGGUUCAUAAACUAUCCCAAGUAACUUAAGAAAACAGAUUAUAACUUAUAUAAAAGCAGUUUGACUUUAUUUUUAUCUUGUGUUGUAAAAAUAGCUUUUACAUAAGUGCUUAUGCUAUAACCUGUUAAAUAAGUUGUUACCAAGCAGAACCUAAUCUGUAACUUGUGUAAGAACAAAUCAAAGAGAGAGAAAAACUGUUGUUCUCAGUGAGGAAACGAACAAGGGAGAAACACAAAAAUUGUAGCUGGCUCUACACAAUUAUUUUGGGGCUUAAGGAUUUUUUUGUUAUUAUUUUGCCUGUUUACUUCUCAGUCAUUAGAGUAACUUUUAUGAACCAAAGUGGCAUAAGAAGUUAUCUCUAGUUGGGCCAAAUUACUUUUAAUCUCUGGAUUCAAACCCCACUCGAACUGAUUUAUCUUCCAUCGAUCAUUUGGGGCGUACUCUGCUUGGGCACAAAACCUUGCUAGUUCCUCGAACUUUGCCACAUAAUCAGCAACUGACAUGUCUCCUUGUUGAAGAUGUGUAAAUUCAAAUUCCUUUUGUUUUCUUAUACUCAUGGGAAUAUAUUUAUCUAGAAAUACAGUACAAAAAUUCUCCCAGUUCAUCGGUGUACCCGCACUUAUCAUGUAUGCCUUUGCACCCUUCCACCAGUUCUCAGCUUCUCCUUGUAGCAUAUGAGUAGCAAAAGCUACCUUAUCUUCUUCAGUACAUCGCACCACAAGAAAAAUUUUGGUCAUUUCAUCCAACCAUGAUUGAGCUUCCAACGGCACCGGGCUCCCUAGGAAAGCUGGGGGUUUCAACUUGUGAAAGUCAUAAAAUAAUCUGUUUGAGGCCUCUGGUGGAGGUGGUGGCGGUGGAUGAGCAGGCCCGACAGAUUGCGCAAGAUGAUUCAUUAUGCUAGUCGUAACAGCUUGUUGUUGUUGCAUCAUAAGUUGUUGUUGCUGCAUCAUUUGCAUCAUCUGUUCCCAACGUUCAUCAUUAUUCUGCUCCCUACGAGGCCUACCUGGAGGUCUUGGGUUUGGUUCCAUAUUGUUCUGCAUAUCAAACACAAAUAUUAAGCUGAUCAGACUUUAACAUUUCAUGAAUUGAUAAUUAGAAAGUAUAUAGUCUCAAAACAAGAACAACAACUAAUUUUAACUACCCACAGUACGGUCGGUUCGACCGGCUCUCAUACCAAAAAUGUAAUACCAUAAGUUAAUUGUCUAGAAUAUAACUUUAGCAUUAACAUAAUUCGACAAAAGAGAUGAUUAAUACAAUCCCGACACAAAGUCAUGAAAAUGUAUUCAUACACAUACUAAACAUUCAAAGAAAAACAUAGAAAUAUGGAGUACAUAACACAUCCAUGGUUCAAAAUAAUUCCCCAUAAACUAUAAGCAGACUAUAGUGUAAACUGACACGCGUCAUUUCUUCAACAUGUGGUCUGAGCCUUUCUUACCUGUAACACAUUUGAAUAAAGUUGGAUGAGAUUACAUCUCAGUGGGUCCCAAUAAAUGAAAUUAAUUAAUUAGCAUUCUAACUCAAGACUACAUUUAUUUUCUGAGUUUCUCUUCAAUGUUCAAUUUUUACUAUUUCUAAAUGUUCAAGNNNNNNNNNNNNNNNNNNNNNNNNNNNNNNNNNNNNNNNNNNNNNNNNNNNNNNNNNNNNNNNNNNNNNNNNNNNNNNNNNNNNNNNNNNNNNNNNNNNNNNNNNNNNNNNNNNNNNNNNNNNNNNNNNNNNNNNNNNNNNNNNNNNNNNNNNNNNNNNNNNNNNNNNNNNNNNNNNNNNNNNNNNNNNNNNNNNNNNNNNNNNNNNNNNNNNNNNNNNNNNNNNNNNNNNNNNNNNNNNNNNNNNNNNNNNNNNNNNNNNNNNNNNNNNNNNNNNNNNNNNNNNNNNNNNNNNNNNNNNNNNNNNNNNNNNNNNNNNNNNNNNNNNNNNNNNNNNNNNNNNNNNNNNNNNNNNNNNNNNNNNNNNNNNNNNNNNNNNNNNNNNNNNNNNNNNNNNNNNNNNNNNNNNNNNNNNNNNNNNNNNNNNNNNNNNNNNNNNNNNNNNNNNNNNNNNNNNNNNNNNNNNNNNNNNNNNNNNNNNNNNNNNNNNNNNNNNNNNNNNNNNNNNNNNNNNNNNNNNNNNNNNNNNNNNNNNNNNNNNNNNNNNNNNNNNNNNNNNNNNNNNNNNNNNNNNNNNNNNNNNNNNNNNNNNNNNNNNNNNNNNNNNNNNNNNNNNNNNNNNNNNNNNNNNNNNNNNNNNNNNNNNNNNNNNNNNNNNNNNNNNNNNNNNNNNNNNNNNNNNNNNNNNNNNNNNNNNNNNNNNNNNNNNNNNNNNNNNNNNNNNNNNNNNNNNNNNNNNNNNNNNNNNNNNNNNNNNNNNNNNNNNNNNNNNNNNNNNNNNNNNNNNNNNNNNNNNNNNNNNNNNNNNNNNNNNNNNNNNNNNNNNNNNNNNNNNNNNNNNNNNNNNNNNNNNNNNNNNNNNNNNNNNNNNNNNNNNNNNNNNNNNNNNNNNNNNNNNNNNNNNNNNNNNNNNNNNNNNNNNNNNNNNNNNNNNNNNNNNNNNNNNNNNNNNNNNNNNNNNNNNNNNNNNNNNNNNNNNNNNNNNNNNNNNNNNNNNNNNNNNNNNNNNNNNNNNNNNNNNNNNNNNNNNNNNNNNNNNNNNNNNNNNNNNNNNNNNNNNNNNNNNNNNNNNNNNNNNNNNNNNNNNNNNNNNNNNNNNNNNNNNNNNNNNNNNNNNNNNNNNNNNNNUAAUUGAGUCUAGUUUCCAGAAAACUAAAAAUCAUUCAAAACGGAUGUCUAUAGAGAAAGUUAUGACCAAAACAUCACACAUAUGUCAUGCGAAAUUCAAGUUAAUAACAUUCCUUCUAUCACACUAAUUUUCCUAACAAUUCUUUGCAACAAUAAUGCUACACAUCAUGAGUAAAUCAGUAAUGAACACACACAAAACAGCAACAAAAAUCCCAAUUUACUCAAUUCUACACUAAUCUAUUUCAAAAUCCCUAAAUCCAACCAAGACUAAAAUAAAAAUCAUUUUUCUUCAUUUCAAACUCUUAAACCCAAAAUCCCUAACCUAUGGAACACAUUAUUUCCUACAUGCAUGAAUGAAAGAUAGAAAAAAGGGAAACCCACCUCUUGAUUUCCAAAAAUGGAGAAAAUGACGGUACCCUCAACUCCUUCUACAGAGACUUCUAGCAAAAUGCACUUUUCUUUUCUCUUUUCUUGGGUUGUUAAUGUCUUGGUUGUUUUCUCUCUUCUUCUUUCUCUCACUCUUUUCUUCUUUCUAUCUCACCAUUUUCUCUCCCUUUCCUUUCUGUUUUCCUUUCCUUUCUGUUUAGGUUCUCCCUUCCCCUUACUCUUUUCUUUUCCCUUGUUUUAAUUUCUUUUACUUAUUCUACUUCACUACUUUCCCCCUUUUUAUUAUUAUUAUACUAACAUGUAAAACAUAAAAAUUACUACAAAUUAUUAAUGCUAAAGAGGGAUGUUACAACCCCAGUUACCGUGGUGUUGUAGAAUUCAUUGUUGUCGUUGGUUUUUGAUGACAAGGAAGAGAGGAGGGUCUUGAGAUUGACUUGGAAUUCAGUGUCAGUGUCUUGUGCUUUGAUAAUUGUAAAAAGGAGGAAGUUAACAAGUAUAGAGAGAUAGAGAAUUUUAGACAAAGCCAUUGAUUUUUGUAUAGAGUUGUUAAUUGCAAAAUACAGUACAGAAUUUUUUCGACCCGCAAACGCAAGCACUUUGGAUUUGUUAAUUAGUAAAGAAUGUUGUUAGCUAGUGAAGAUGUUUUAUGAAUUAAUGUAAUAAAAUGAUGACGUAUUGUGAUGUAUAUAAAUCAAAUUCAAUUAAAACAAACCUAAGUUAAGUUUUCUCAUUUAUGUCAAAAUAAAAAAAGUUGUUUCCAAAAUUCUUUUAAAGUUUUUUCCAAAUAACAUAGGUUGAAAAAGAAAUACAAUCACGUGACUUUGAUGCGUACUACUUAAUAGGAAGACUUUGAGGAGUCAUGAAACCUGAGAUGUGGAAAGCUUCGUAUCCUCCUUAUCUCAUCAAUUAUCAUUGGUUCCAGUGGUUUGAAAUGAAAUCAUACAUUGAAUUAUAUUUUACAUUGGUUCACUGCUUCACUAAAUUUAAUUUUAGUUCACCGAAAGUCCAUAGACCUUGUACACGAGUUAACGUGUUUAAUUUACGAUUUUUUUAAUACUUCUGUCGGAUCAAUUAAAUUAUAAUAGCUAUAAUAUAUCAAAUUUUAUAUUUUUUAUUAUUUUAUUUCUAUUUAUUAAAUUUUAAAUAAAUUUUAUUUUAUUUUAAACUUUCUAAUUAGAUUAUCAAAUUUUAACUCAAAAUAAAAAAUACCAUAAAAAAAUAACAGUUGGAUGAUAAGUUUAUUAGAUUAUUUUAAUAAUCUAUUAGUGUGACCUAUGUAAUAAAUAGAUUCACUUUGCAUAAAAUAUGAUGUAAUAUAUUAAUAGUUUGAUUUGUAAUUUUGAGGAUUAAUAUUCUUCUCCUCUUCCUUUUGAAUGAUAGUUACAAAGUAAUCGUAACUAUACAAUGACAUAAAAUAGAAGAAAAUAAAUUCAUUCUAUUUUCUCUUGAUAUCAUAAAAAGAGAAGAGGACAAUUUCAAUCAAGAACACUAAAAAAUAAUCGAUAUCAUAAAUUGAAGUAUAUUUUAUUACUUUUAUAAUAUUUGAUGGUAUCGUGAAAAUUAUAAUAUCAAAAUCAUUGGAGUAGUUUUCUAACAAUUUAUAUCAUAGCUGAUUUAAUUUAAUGUUUGAUAAAAUUAACAAUUAAAUUAAUUAAUAAAUAUAAGAUAACAUAAAAAUAAUUUUUUAGUUAAUAUUCAAUAUUUUUCAACUAAAACAACAAGAGUAAAAAUGAAAUGUCUCAAGCUUGUAAAACAAGCUAGUCGAUUUUAUUUGAAAUGUUUUGAUAAAAUUAAGGUUUAAUUAAAAAUAGUUUAACAAAUGACACUUAAUUAGAGUAGCAAAAAGUGUAAUUAAAAUUUAACAUAAAGGCUUCUCUUCUCUUACACUUUUUUGGUUUUCUCUAUUUUUCCAAACACCAGGUGCGCUUCUCUCUCUCUCUCUCCACUGCUUCAAUGUCAAUGCAACCUAUUUCGAAUAUUUACUACCAUGUCGUUUAUCGCUCUCUGUUUCUCUUGGAUUUCCAUAACUUUAAUGCUUUACUUUCACUACUAACUUGUUGCUACGCCCUAAAACUACUAGGAUCCAUUCUCGUUAUGCUUUUUUUUUCCUUCCUUCACAUGUUAAAUUGAAAUGCCAUUCACCACCGCAUGUAGUUAUUGUUAAUCAAAUAUUAUAUAAUAUAAUCUUAGCUAUUGAUUGCAGUUGCCAAUCAUCCCUUUUCUACUUGUGUGUACCAACUGUUUGAUCAAUGUUGUCAAUGAAAUUUUCAUCUAUUAAAAUAAUGUUUUCUUUUUCUAUUGGAUUUAAUUCAUUUACAUUUGUCGGUGUGUGUUUUUACACUGAAUAUUAGAUAGAUAAGGAGUACUAGCAACACACGUAUUCCAACUCACGUUUAUAUAUUUAUUGACUAAAAUGAUCCCACCAAAUUGUUUGAGUCCCAUUUAAAUUUGUUGGGGCUCAUAUGAAUUUUAACCAAUAAAAGAUAGUGUGUUGGAAAGUGUGUGUUGUUGGCGUUAUUCUUAGAUGUAUAUUGUAUACCAUAUUACCAUCAUCAUGUUUAGAAUAAAAAUGCAUCAAACAUUUUGGAAAUUGUAAUAUAUAAUCAUUUCGUGCUUGUGGGGGUCACUGUUCUGCUGCUACUGCACUUGCCUCAGUGGUUUCCCUCUUUUAAACUAUUCCUUUCUUUAUGCCGUAAGUGAAACCAACGUUCAAACAACAAUGUUUCUCGUUUCUCUGCUAUGCUUGUUGCAAUGCAUUCUUGAUUCCGAGCGGUAGAUCUGAAAUGAUACUAAAAUGUCCGUGCUAUGACUGUGAGGAAUAACUAUAUUGUUUUUGUCAUGUUUGAAUCUGUACACUGUACAGUACUCUUGCAUUUCGUGUUUAUCAAUUAUGCCAGGCCUAUUUGGUUGCUUUCACAACCGUUUUGAAAUAUCAGAAACUAGCAAGUUCUGUUCUACUUCUUAGUUUUCAAAUUUGGUGUACUUCUCCGGCCUCAUUUCUGAAGCAUGUACAUGUGUCUAGCAUUCUAUUUUUACUGGGAAUUAGGAAUCGUUUAGGGUUUUCUCGAUCUGGAAAAUGUUUAGAAGAUCUUCUAAAAUGUAUAGGUAGGGGAGUUGGAGUUUUUUUGCAGUGAAUGUGCCCCUUUUGUGUUUAGAUUUAGAAAUAGUCAUGCUUUUUAGAGCACCCUGGGAAUUAAAAAGUGUAACUCAAUUACGUGACAAUUGAGGAACAAAGAGACAUGUACAUCAUUGCGAGCACAAGGCUCUGACCAUAAAAAAGCUGCUACAGACGUACAGAAUAAUGCCUUCCCAAGGCUCCUAGAUUAGGCAUAAUUCAUAUAUUGGGAGAAAUAACAUGUGGGGAUGUGGUCCACAAAUCUUGUUAUGUGUUAUAAUCCAAAUUAAAGUGAAGAAGGAUAAGGUCUACGAAUGUGAUCAUACAAUGGAAGAUAGCUUUCAAUAUGAUAUGUGGUGUUGUGUAUUGAUUGAUAGUUGUAAACUAUAAGCUGUAAUUAAUAAUAUUGUAGAUGUAUAAUCUUCUGAUGUAUGUGAAUAAUCCAACUCAGUUGCUAGAGUUCUCCUCAACACGCAAAAUCAACUCGAACCAAAGCAAUUUCUUCUAUUUUAAAUCAAGAUUUUAUAUAUGCAAUUUGAAAGAGAAGCCCUACACAGUCCAAAAUCUUUAGUGUUUUUUUUUUUGUAUCAUAUGACCAAUAGAGGAAUGAUAAAAAGAAGUUUAUGUCCAUCUGAUUUUUUUCGAAAUUUGUAUUUGCUUAGUACUUGGUAAGUAAAACAUGAAAUGAACUUGUAUUUUGUGGAUACAUUGAAAUGCUUUGCUUCAAGUUUAAUGUACAGUUUUCAAAUGUGGCAAAAGUUGAUAGUUUCAUGAGUUUAUGUCUGAUAUGUCAAAACUCUGAUACAAAAACUGAUUUUUUUUAUACAUUCUUAUUUCCAGAGAGAUUAUAUUGCAAACUAGAUAUGGUUAUCCCACCUCCAGUUAGACCUCCCAGGAUUACACAAUUUCUCAAACCAUAUCUUUUGAGGAUGCAUUUUACCAAUAAGUAUGUAAGUGCACAGGUGAUCCACACCCCAACUGCUACUGUAGCUUCUUCUGCAAGUUCACAGGAGAAAGCCUUGAAACCAAGCUUGGAAACUACUCGCGAUGUGGCCGCAGCUGCAAAGAUUGGGAAGAUACUAGGGGAACGUCUUUUGCUUAAGGACAUUCCUGCCGUUUCUGUUCAUUUGCCUGCUGUUUCUGUUCAUUUGAAAAGAGAACAGAGGUAUCAUGGUAAGGUAAAAGCUGUUAUUGAUUCUCUCAGGGAAGCUGGUGUUAAGCUACUAUGAGUUAUGUUUGUGUAUGUUAAGUUGUACAUGAGUUACCCAUUGGUUUCU
rnacentral:lncRNA from 1 species